rnacentral:rRNA from 1 species
GAUGAACGCUAGCUACAGGCUUAACACAUGCAAGUCGAGGGGUAACAAGAGGAAAGCUUGCUUAUCUUGUUGACGGCCGGCGCACGGGUGAGUAACGCGUAUCCAACCUGCCUAUAACUAGGGAAUAACCUUGCGAAAGUAAGACUAAUACCCUAUGAUUUCCUUUGAUGACAUCAGAUAAGGAAUAAAGAUUUAUCGUUUAUAGAUGGGGAUGCGUCGGAUUAGCUUGUUGGCGGGGUAACGGCCCACCAAGGCAACGAUCAGUAGGGGUUCUGAGAGGAAGGUCCCCCGCAUUGGAACUGAGACACGGUCCAAACUCCUACGGGAGGCAGCAGUGAGGAAUAUUGGUCAAUGGGCGGAAGCCUGAACCAGCCAAGUAGCGUGCAGGAUGACGGCCCUAUGGGUUGUAAACUGCUUUUAUACAGGAAUAAAGUUAGCCACGUGUGGUUAUUUGUAGGUACUGUAUGAAUAAGGACCGGCUAAUUCCGUGCCAGCAGCCGCCGUAA